rnacentral:rRNA from 1 species
GAGUUUGAUCCUGGCUCAGAUUGAACGCUGGCGGCAGGCCUAACACAUGCAAGUCGAACGGUAACAGNGAGCAGCUUGCUGCUCUGCUGACGAGUGGCGGACGGGUGAGUAAUGUCUGGGAAACUGCCUGAUGGAGGGGGAUAACUACUGGAAACGGUAGCUAAUACCGCAUAACGUCUACGGACCAAAGUGGGGGACCUUCGGGCCUCAUGCCAUCAGAUGUGCCCAGAUGGGAUUAGCUAGUAGGUGGGGUAACGGCUCACCUAGGCGACGAUCCCUAGCUGGUCUGAGAGGAUGACCAGCCACACUGGAACUGAGACACGGUCCAGACUCCUACGGGAGGCAGCAGUGGGGAAUAUUGCACAAUGGGCGCAAGCCUGAUGCAGCCAUGCCGCGUGUAUGAAGAAGGCCUUCGGGUUGUAAAGUACUUUCAGCGGGGAGGAAGGCGUUGUGGUUAAUAACCACAG